rnacentral:rRNA from 1 species
GAUGAACGCUGGCGGCGUGCCUAAUACAUGCAAGUCGAGCGAACGGAUGAGAAGCUUGCUUCUCUGAUGUUAGCGGCGGACGGGUGAGUAACACGUGGAUAACCUACCUAUAAGACUGGGAUAACUUCGGGAAACCGGAGCUAAUACCGGAUAAUAUUUUGAACCGCAUGGUUCAAAAGUGAAAGACGGUCUUGCUGUCACUUAUAGAUGGAUCCGCGCUGCAUUAGCUAGUUGGUAAGGUAACGGCUUACCAAGGCAACGAUGCAUAGCCGACCUGAGAGGGUGAUCGGCCACACUGGAACUGAGACACGGUCCAGACUCCUACGGGAGGCAGCAGCAGGGAAUCUUCCGCAAUGGGCGAAAGCCUGACGGAGCAACGCCGCGUGAGUGAUGAAGGUCUUCGGAUCGUAAAACUCUGUUAUUAGGGAAGAACAUAUGUGUAAGUAACUGUGCACAUCUUGACGGUACCUAAUCAGAAAGCCACGGCUAACUACGUG